UCAGAGGGAAAGGAAGAAAGAAAAUCCUCGUACUCAGUCUCUGGGACCAACAGUGAACUCAACAGGUUUUCUGUCCCUUCUGCCACAGGUCUGGGAUCCUGGGACGGGUUCCAAGUCAAGAAGAGGAUUCUUGUGUCACUGUUACUAUGACAAUGGCCCUUCCCAGGAGGUGAUGAGCAAGUCCACCUUUGACGCUGCUGUCACCCCACCUGCAUUUCCCUGAACGUUUCUCGUGACCAGCUGACGUCAGGAGACUCCGGGACUGUGCGUAACACAGCUGAUUCAUCUCCCCUGGCAGCGGGCAUCUUGACCUGCCCCUGAGGCUUUGCUUUGUCUUCUGUAGGUCAAGGCGUUGGUUUUAUUUUUUAAUAAAUAAAGUGGAACCUGACUCAUGA